CCCUUAACCUAGACCCGGUUGUUUGGUGGGUUUAAGAGCUCCCACCCCCAGGGAUAGUGUAUGUGUCUGGGUGUCGUUUAUUUUUAUUUUUCUUACAUACUUUUAGUUUUCAUGUGCACAUUUUCCAGUUCAAAUUGGUACACAUCUUGUGUCAGUGUUGGGGGCCCCACACUGUGUGUUUCUGGACUUUGAUCUGGACAUAUUGUUGCUGUGAUACAUUUAUCAUUACUGUAUCC